rnacentral:rRNA from 1 species
GAUUAAGUGUUAUAAGGGCAUUUAGUGGAUGCCUAGGCAUGCACAGGCGAUGAAGGACGUGAUACGCUGCGAA